rnacentral:rRNA from 1 species
GAACGCUGGCGGCAGGCUUAACACAUGCAAGUCGAGCGGAGAUGAGGUGCUUGCACCUUAUCUUAGCGGCGGACGGGUGAGUAAUGCUUAGGAAUCUGCCAUUUAGUGGGGGACAACAUUCCGAAAGGAAUGCUAAUACCGCAUACGUCCUACGGGAGAAAGCAGGGGAUCUUCGGACCUUGCGCUAAAUGAUGAGCCUAAGUCGGAUUAGCUAGUUGGUGGGGUAAAGGCCUACCAAGGCGACGAUCUGUAGCGGGUCUGAGAGGAUGAUCCGCCACACUGGGACUGAGACACGGCCCAGACUCCUACGGGAGGCAGCAGUGGGGAAUAUUGGACAAUGGGCGGAAGCCUGAUCCAGCCAUGCCGCGUGUGUGAAGAAGGCCUUUUGGUUGUAAAGCACUUUAAGCGAGGAGGAGGCUACCUGGAUUAAUACUCUGGGAU